GACAAACGCUCUUCCACGCGCCGACUCAACGAACGGUUGUCGUCCUCCACCUCAGCACCACCGGAGUUAAAAAAUAAUCUGCGAAAUCAAAGAAAAGAAGGAAAAAUCCUUAAAAGUGAGUUCUAACCCAGCAGAUGGAGAUCCUCAACGUCAACACGUCGCCGGAAAUCAAUUCCAGACACAUUUCGCUAUCUAAAGGCCGUUGGCUGCGUUAUCGAUAACAAAACAACCCAGGAUCGCGGUGCCCUCGCUGUCCUACCUCAAAUCCGGAUGAGGGAUGCGCCGUGGAAGAGGAAGAGCUGCCAGCGACGUCUCGGUGCCGAUGGCCACCGCGGCGAGGUGUGUCCGGAUACGGCAGCGCCGGUUCUUCCCUCCUCCGGCCGAUAUUGGGAAGGGAUUUGCACCGAUAUCCAGAAUCCGAAGCGGGAAAACUUGAGGAGAAGGAAAUUCCAACGCACGCCAAACCCGGAGCUGCCACAUCCUCUCCCAAAGCCGGAAAACCACCGGAACAACCCCCCCCGCCACCCGUGAAUUAAUUACUUUCGGACUAAUUAAGCUGCGAGUGGCAUAAUGAAGAAGCUCAACGCAAAC